UACGGGGGGGGCAAGCGUUGUUCGGAAUUACUGGGCGUAAAGGGCUCGUAGGCGGCCAACUAAGUCGGAUGUGAAAUCCCCAGGCUUAACCUGGGAAUUGCAUCCGAUACUGGAUGGCUUGAAUCCGGGAGAGGGAUGCGGAAUUCCAGGUGUAGCGGUGAAAUGCGUAGAUAUUGGGAGGAACACCAGUGGCGAAGGCGGUCCCCUGGGCCGGAACUGACGCUGAGGCGCGAAAGCGUGGGUAGCAAACGGG
rnacentral:rRNA from 1 species